rnacentral:tRNA from 1 species
GCGCUCGUAGCUCAGGGGAUAGAGCGCAAGGUUGCGGACCUUGAGGUCGCAGGUUCGAUUCCUGCCGGGCGCA